ACAAGACUCCAUCUCAAAAAAAAAGAUCGGAGAUCCCUUGGUUUCUCUCAUGUUGAUCUGAGAUGCCACAUCAGGGCCCUUUCUGCUUUAUUAUCUCUGCCUGGCUGCUCUGCCAGAAGCCUUCCCCUGCGAAGUACCCACCUGCCUGGAGACAGAGGGAGCAGCUGAGGCCUCUCUCCACCAGCCGGCAGCCUCCCCAGCACAGAGGACCAUUCAGCAAUGAGUGUCACUCAUGUUCCUUCUUGUUGAUGAGUUCUGCAGCCCAGCCUAUAGCAAUGGCUCAGAACCUUCCAGGCCUUGGUGAGAUAGGGCAGUGUCCAAUGCUCGCAGGCUGUCCCCACUCUGUCUCUUGCCAUCUUCCCCUCAGGACCUGUUCAUAAAUUGGGGAAUGGACGAGGGCCCUGGAGGGUGCUUGGGAGUAGUUAGUGGAGGGCAGGACUCCCAGAUCCCCAUAGAGAGGGCAAGAGAAGCGCAGAUGUGCACAGAAACCCAUCUCUGUCACAUACACCCCAGCUGCUCACCGAGUUAUUUUCCAAAAGCUGAGAAACAUAAAUCAAACUUAGGCUUUUGUCCCUCUUCAAUAUGUGCACUUGAAAAUAACUAAACAAGCAAAAAAGAGACGGUAAAUGACAAGUUUGCUUCCUGUUGGCUAGCACCCUCAGCCUGGGAGCUGCUGCCGGAGGCUGGCAUAUCGGGGCAGCUGCUGACCAAACCCCACAGAACAGAGGGCACCAGGCAUCACAUGACAUCUGUCUCUGCCAUCUAUCUGGCAAUGGAAGGAGCUCCAGACGGAGGUCCUUCCCAGAAGAUUGAUUCUUGGCCUGGGUGGUAGAGGAGAUAGAAGCAUCCAAAGGUCUGAUCCUGACCCUAGAGUCCCGUAGCCCUGAGUCAUCCUCUCCUAUACUAGGGCCUGUUUUAAUUGACCGUAGGGGCCCGGUGCAGUGGUUCACACCUGUAAUCUUAGCAUUUGGGGAGGCCAAGGUGAGGAUUGCUCGAGCCCAGGAGUUGGAGACCAGCCUGGGUAACAUGGGGAGACCAAUUAACUGUUGGGCUUGUCCCUUGCUAGGACAGGAGCCGAAGACUGGAUGGGUGUGUCCUCAAGGCAAUCCCCUCUCACCCCCAUUCCCAAAGUCUGAAAGCAAAACCAGAUCUCAAAGGGCUGAUUCCUGAGGCAAGGAGAGAGAAUGGGGGCGUGGUGGGAGCAGACACCUGCCCAAGCCAACUGGGUCUUACUGAUCUGUACAAGCUGAUAGAAGGACCACCUGCUGGAAUCCAGGGCUCCUGAGUUAUUGGGUUUGCUUGUGAAGCUUCUAGGACAAGGCACAGCCAGAUGGAAGGGAGGGUCCCGGGCUUCCUGAAUGCAGCCACAUCACCUCUCAACUUGCUGCAGUUUCAGAGAUAGUGGAAGUUGCUCUGUACCUCAAAAGCACAAAGCAGAAUUGGCAACUUCACGUCUCAGGAGCUUCAAGAUCCUUUGGUCUCGUGUCCUUUGGCAUCCCAUAACUGUAUGGGGGACAAAUUUGUACAUGUUUCCAAGGCUACAGACAUGGUGCCCUCCUCAUGGGCCUAGCUCAGGUAUCUAGGUCAGGUACUUCGCUGGGGAAAUGAAAUGACCCACAUGGUCUGCUUCCUCUGCCAUUGGCUUGAACUGGGCACCCCCUGAAUUCUCCAUCUCAGCUGUAUUUUCUGGUCCACGUUUGCCUGGCUCCCCCUGCUUCUGCCUGGGUCCUGCACACUGUCCUUUUGCCAACACCUCCGCCCUGUGUCCUGUUUUCAUGUCUGCAUGGUAUGACACAACUUCAUGGCAUACAUAGCCACAGUAUGUACAUAUGCGCCCACGUGUGUGUGUGUGUGUGUGUGUGUGUAUAGCCCAUUCUGCUCAGCCUCUGGCACUGCUCCACAUUGCCCCCAGCCCCACUGCUGUCACUGUUGUCCCAGAUGUCCUUGCCGUGGCCACAGACAAUCUGCCGUCUCCUGGAAGUGCUGGGGCUGCCCUUCAGAGAGCUGGCAGCCGCCAGCAGUCAGGGCCUGCUUCGCAGAAUAGAAUGUGAACCCCUCUUCUGAUGGCCUACUUGACUUAUUUAAUUAAAAAUGGAAACAUACAACAAGCAAGAGCUG